rnacentral:rRNA from 1 species
GAUGAACGCUAGCGGCAGGCUUAAUACAUGCAAGUCGAGGGGCAGCAGGGGUGUAGCAAUACACCCGCUGGCGACCGGCAAACGGGUGCGGAACACGUACGCAACUUACCCAUAACUGGGGGAUAGCCCGGGGAAACCCGGAUUAAUACCUCGUAACAUUGUGAAGUGGCAUCACUUUACAAUUAUAGCUCCGGCGGUUAUGGAUGGGCGUGCGGCUGAUUAGGUAGUUGGCGGGGUAACGGCCCACCAAGCCUGCGAUCAGUAACUGGUGUGAGAGCACGACCAGUCACACGGGCACUGAGACACGGGCCCGACUCCUACGGGAGGCAGCAGUAAGGAAUAUUGGUCAAUGGACGCAAGUCUGAACCAGCCAUGCCGCGUGAAGGAUGAAGGUCCUCUGGAUUGUAAACUUCUUUUAUAUGGGACGAAACCCGGGUAUUCCUACCCGAUUGACGGUACCAUAGGAAUAAGCACCGGCUAACUCCGUGCCAGCAGCCGCGGUAACAC